GGUUUUGGUUUGUUUUGUUAAUUGAACCUUUUUGCUUUUCUGGGUUUUUUUUGUUUUGUUAGUUGAACCUUUUUGCUUUUCUGGGUUUUUUUUUGUUUUUUAUUUCAGCUGAAAUUUGCAGUUGAAGAUUGUUUUUUUCUUUGUUGCUCUUGUUAACUGUUUUGUACACGUGUGUUUAGGUUUGUGUGUAUCUGUGUAAAAUUGAUUUUGAUAUGUUUGAUUAUAUUUUAGUAGAAUUGAUUUUGCUUCUAUAAUUGAAUUGAUUCUAACUUGAAGAUAGCAUUUGUAGCUUUUGAGUCUGGACUGAAACUUCAGCUGAUAUGUGAAGUUUUCUUUGUUGCUCCUGUUAUUUUUGUUUGUACACGUCUGUUUAGGUUUUCGGUAAUAAAAAUUGAUUUUGAUUGAAUUGAUUUUAUGAAACUGAUUUUGGUUGGAAGUUGAGUUGACCUUAAAGUAACUUAUGUUUGAAAGGUGUUGUCUAUUUGGUCCCCGACUCAGCCAAAAUCUCAAAUUAGUUAUCCGUCAUUAGUUUAGUCCUAACGUUAAAAUGGUCAUGAACUAUUUUGACGGUAAGGUGUAUCUUAUGAGACUUUUAUGAUAGUAAGUUGUAUUUUGAUAAGGUGUAAAGACUAUUUUGAUGAUUCAACGACUAAUUUGAGUUUUUGGCUGAGUGAGGGACCAAAGUAACAUUGUGCUACACUUUCAAGGAUUAAAAUGGUGGUUUAUCCUUUAAUUUAAUGUUUGGAUAAUAAUUUCUUUUGUUUGUAUGUAUGUCAAUAAAUUUGAGAAUUGAUUUUGUGUUACUGCAGAAGUUAGAAAGCUAGAAAGAUGAGUUUUUAGGUUGAAUCGAUUUUAUGACUUGGAUCAAGUCUAAAGCUGAAAUUCAUACAUAACAGGUCAAAUCAUGUUUGUUUUGGUUUGUUUAUUUAUUAUUUUUUUGUGCACUUUUGUGGAUUGGAGUUGAUUGAAUGGUAAAAAUUUAUUUGUUUUUUGUGUUUCUUAUGUUAUGUUUAGAGGUCUUACCUUUGUUUUGUUUUCUUCUGUGACUCCUUGUAGCUCUUUAGAGUUGAUUGAAUGUUAAAAGUUUAUCUAAUUUUGAGUUUCUUGUUCAUAUUUAGAGGUCUUAGUUUAGUUUUUGUUUUCUGUUGGGGGAUGCUUUUUAGUCCUUUUGCUGCAUUUGUGGUUAAAAGAGGAUGUGGUUGUUCUCAACUUUUGAUAUCUCCAUAUGAUGAUUGGAGGAUUAAAAUUGAUGGGUGCCAUUUGAGUCAUCCAAUGUUGUAUCCUGAUAUUUUGUCAAUUUUUAAAGAGUAAUACCUAAAUUGGUCCGAUAAAAAAAUGUCGAGACUUAUUUGAUCCUUGAGAAAAGAAAAAGAAACCAUUUUGGUCUUUAAGAAUGGCAAAUGUGUGCAAAUUUGCAAUUUUUAUGAUACGUGUGUUUGGUUAGGCGGCGGUAAAAGAUUUUGAAUGAAUUGAUUCUAUGAAAUUGAUUUUGACUAAAAGUGAGUUAAAGGUAAAGUGAUUUAUGUCUGGAUACAUUCAUGUAAAAGUGAGUUGAGUGAUAAAUCCGCUUAUCAAUUCUAGAGGCAAAAGCUACAAUUC
rnacentral:lncRNA from 1 species